CCUACGGGAGGCAGCAGUGGGGAAUAUUGGACAAUGGGCGCAAGCCUGAUCCAGCCAUGCCGCGUGAGUGAUGAAGGCCCUAGGGUUGUAAAGCUCUUUCACCGGAGAAGAUAAUGACGGUAUCCGGAGAAGAAGCCCCGGCUAACUUCGUGCCAGCAGCCGCGGUAAUACGAAGGGGGCUAGCGUUGUUCGGAAUUACUGGGCGUAAAGCGCACGUAGGCGGACAUUUAAGUCAGGGGUGAAAUCCCGGGGCUCAACCCCGGAACUGCCUUUGAUACUGGGUGUCUUGAGUGUGGAAGAGGUCAGUGGAAUUGCGAGUGUAGAGGUGAAAUUCGUAGAUAUUCGCAGGAACACCAGUGGCGAAGGCGGCUGACUGGUCCAUUACUGACGCUGAGGUGCGAAAGCGUGGGGAGCAAACAGGAUUAGAUACCCUAGUAGUC
rnacentral:rRNA from 1 species